rnacentral:rRNA from 1 species
UACGGGGGGGGCAAGCGUUGUUCGGAAUUACUGGGCGUAAAGGGCUCGUAGGCGGCCAACUAAGCCGGAUGUGAAAUCCCCAGGCUUAACCUGGGAACUGCAUCCGAUACUGGAUGGCUUGAAUCCGGGAGAGGGAUGCAGAAUUCCAGGUGUAGCGGUGAAAUGCGUAGAUAUCUGGAGGAACACCGGUGGCGAAGGCGGCAUCCUGGACCAAUAUUGACGCUGAGGAGCGAAAGCCAGGGGAGCAAACGGG